rnacentral:lncRNA from 1 species
UCCCCCACCAUUACGAAUCACACAAAAGAGAAAUCAAAAUGAAGCCCUCGACGAUUCGAUUCCUACCUUCCUACGCGUGAUUCACUGCUAUUCGAUGUGGUAUUCCUCCCCUUUUUCUCCCUUUAAAGUGCAGGUUUGAGUGUUUUGUGUGUAAUCGACGUCGAGUUUUAAUUUUCUUGACUUGUGGUAUGUAUUAAUGUUGUUGGGUAAGACUGUAUGAGUAAAGAUCUGCAAAAAUAUUUAGGAUCCGACUAUUUUAAAAUUUUAGAAUUUUUAGAAAAGUGUCCAAAUAUGAAUUUCAUUUAAUAUUUAUGAUUUAGAUGAGUAAAUGAGUUGAUUCAACCGAUUGGUUUUCGAAAAAUAAUGUUGGGUUAAAACAACUGUGACUUUGAGGGUUAUUUUUUCAUCAUUUUUGGAAUGUUGAACUGUGAAAACAAAUUGACCAAUAAAUUCGCCUCGUCGAGACGUUUGAAAUGAACCUAUGAUU